UCAACUAUCAGUGUGCAAUUUCAUCCCGCCUCCGACCCCCAACGCUGUCUGUCGCUGUAUGAACAUAGGAUCCAAGUGUAUCUGAGCAGGGUCCCCACCAGCGUAAUCUAUUGAGGGAGCUACUGAGGGACUAUAACCGUAUGGAGA
rnacentral:lncRNA from 13 species